GAGAAGGGAGGAGUUAUUCAGGCCUCCGCCAGCUUCUAGGCCCUGGGGAUGGUCUUUCACCUCCCUCUUUCUGAUCUCUUUUUCAUGCUCCUCCUUGCUCCAAAGAAAAGCCGGAUGGCAAAAGAGCCCAGAACCUAUUGGAACUGACAAAAUCAAGUCACGGCGCCUACAAAGAUGAGGGGCAGAUUCUGGCUGCCUUUUAAUUUCGUCCUUCACCUGAUAUCUGUGCCAGAGAAUGAUAAAAAUCAUAAUAAAGGAAAUAAUGGAAGAGGAGACUUAUGUUACUGGGGACAUCUAACAUAAUUAUUUUCCUGAUUCAGUGGCAUGGUUCAGUCUUCCAGGAGUUCUGCUACAGAGAAGAGAGUAACCCCCAUCCAUCAUGGCCAAAGCACCCAGUCAGGCUCCGCUCUGGAUCCAGCCCGACAAAUGCAACCCUUGAAUAGGGUUUGUGCAAGCAAACUGGAUGACGACCGAAGAAACCCUGUCGCUUCUGAGAAGACACCCAAUCCAAGAAUGAAAGCAUCAGGUUCAAUACCUAGGAACUCCUGUAGAGGGUGUUGUGGAAUCUUCUUUAAAAGAACAAAACAAGGCAAAACAAAGUUUAAUAGGGUAGAGCAGCCAGGUGUGGUGGGUCAUGCCUGUAAUCUCAGCAAUUUGGGAGGCCAAGGCAGGAUCUCAGCAAUUUGGGAGGCGAAGGCAGGCAGAUCACUUGAGCCUAGGAGUUCAAGACCAGCUUGGGCAACAUAGCAAGACCCUGCCUAUACCAAAAAAAAAAAGUGAACCUAGGAGUAUGAGGCUGCAGUAAGCUGUGGUUGUACCAGUGCACUUUGGGAGGCCAAGGUAGGCGGGUCUUCUGAGAUCGAGAGUUUGAGACCAGCCUGACCAACAUGGAGAAACCCCGUCUCUACUAAAAGUACAAAAUUAGCCGGCAUGGUGGUGCAUGCCUGUAAUCCCAGCUACUCGGGAGGCUGAGGCGGGAGAAUUGCUUGAACUCAGGAGGCAGAGGUUGUGGUGAGCCAAGAUCGCGCCAUUGCACUCCAGCCUGGACAACAAGAGCGAAACUCCAUCACAAACAAACAAACAAUAAACAAAAACCAUAGAGUGAUUUCUGGCCAACAGAGCAAGAAAGAAGUGAACCAAUGAAAACCGGUCCAAGUCUGGGAGUCAAUAUGGAAAAGCUGCCUAAUUAAUGUGGAAGCCCCAGGGAAAUGAUAUACCAUGAAAACCUAACACUACAAAAACUAGUUGUCAGACACAUGUGAGCAGUGAACAGAAUCCUAAUAUGCUGGUUUAACAUUCAAAACUGGAGAGUGUUUGUGUAUCUUCUAAAGACUGUUUGGGGUUUAUUUGUGGAGUUCAGCUGAGUGUCAUCAGAACAAAGAUUAGUGCAAAAAAUCUUUCAGAAAUCAUGCCCAAACAUUUGCAUGCACCUUAAAUAAGAAAUGAAAUAGCAAGAAGAGUAUGUCACAAUAAAGUAUAAAUAGCAAGUGAUAUGUCUCAUCGUACUGAGACAGUUUUAUAAAUGAGGCAAAGGCCUUGUCAAAAAAUAAUGAUGAUUUUCAAAAUUCUGAAACGCAAAGGAGGAAAACUACUUCAUUCAGUUAACAGGAAGCACACAAGAAUCUCCCCAUCAACCAAGAUUUUUUUUUUCUAUAACCCACGCUUUGUAAGACAAUAAUAGCAAAAACUAUAAACUAGAAUUUGUUGAAAGAACAACUUCUAGAAUUUGCCCUUUAUGUGCUGUUUUACCAUUGUCAUGUCUGUCUCUGGUAUGACUUCCUCAUCUAUUAGUAGCCUCCUAAUAAAUUUGAACAAAUGAAUGAAUG
rnacentral:lncRNA from 1 species